GGUGAACUGCCUCAUUUUUUACUACAAUCAUUUAUUAGAUGAUUACAAAUGUCUUGCCCUCAUCAAGUCAAUUAAUCUCUAUUUUAUUUGUAACUGAUAAUAAGGAAAAUUGUUUCAUACUUAUCGUAAUUUUCUUUUCCUGAUCAUUAUUCAUGGCAGCAUUUACUCAUGGGUUUCAUACGGUAAAUAUGAAACAAUUUUCCUUAUUCCUGAUCAGUCAUGGCAGCAUUUACCCAUGGAAAAUACCCAAGCAGUAUAUAUAGUGGGAGGGACAGCUAAUAGUUAUAAAACCAUUAUUGAGCUGCAUAAACCUUAUAAGACUUUAAAAAAGCCAAACAAGUAAUCAAUAGGAUAUUAUCAUAAAAUGUGGUCAGACAAGUUAACUUACACCAGAGGCUGCAAAGUCAGCAAUCCCCUGGCAUUCAAAUGUCUAAAAUAUCCUGGAGAAAUAUAGAGCCAAAUAGGAAUUAAUGGCAUGAUAACCAAACCUAUAGAAGGAAAAAGGCUAAACUAAUACAAGACAAACUCUCGUAAGAAAUAAGGAACCCAUAGUUAGGAAUAAAAAAACAUGCGUGCUAGCACUCCUGCUACCCCUCCACAACAAGGUCCUGGAAGGUAAGUAAAGCUAGUUUUACACUUUCAUUAUAGUUAGUGAAUUCACUAAGCUUAGGACAUGGGACAUUUAGGGUUAAUGUUAGGGUUCAAAUUAGGGUUAGGAUUAGGGACUUGUUUAUAUUUAGGGAUAUUUCACAUGAGGGGAAUAUCUAUACAUUUCUCACACUUUAUUUUAACCCUUACCCCAAGGGUUAGGGUAAGAAUAGAGUGUGAGAGAGGUUAAAAUAACUUACCUAACCCUAAUUUGAACCCUCACUUAAGCCUAAAACAUUUUAACAGGUCAUGUUACAUUUUAACUUAGGACCCCUUAUUUGAUAGCAGCUUCACAAGUCUUGAAUCCAUUGAACUUGUGAGUUUUUGGACAGUUUCUGCUUGAAUUUGUUUGCAAGAUGUCAGAAUAGCCUCCCAGAGCUGCUGUUUGAAUGUAAACUGACUUCCACCCUCAUAGAUCUUUUGCUUGAGGAUGCGCUGAAGGUUCUCAAUAGGAUUGAGGUCAGGGGAGGAUGGAGGCCACACCAUGACUUAUUCUCCUUUUAUCCCUGUAACGAAAUGAUUUCGAGUGAUUUCAUGCAAACAGCGAGAAAAAAAUAGUGGCAAGCAACAAACCGAAAGCCAUGUUAAUAGCUGAACUACUGGAGAGCGAUCAAACCGGCGAACAACGAAUGGCGAAUGCAGAGGAAACAGAGUUCCAGAGGGAUGUGAGAUGGAGACUCAGCCUGGUAGGACCUAACCCUGCACCAGAGAUCAUGGUACAGAUCUUGGCACAAGCUACAGAGACCCAGAAUGCCAGGGAAGCCCGAGAAGCCAGAGACAGAUCACCUCCUGUGGAUAUAUUGUCGCUAUCUAGAUCUACAAUGGGGCGUCAGUGGAAAAUCAACUACACUGCAUUUAAAAGCUUCGUGGAAGGUGAGAUGGAUAUUGAUAAUUACUUGCAAGAUUUUGAGAGACAAUGUGUGCUAGAAGAUUUGGAAAGAGCUAACUGGGCUGCAGUAUUAAGCAGCAAAUUAUCAGUUAGAGCAGCCGAAGCGUUGAGAGCUGUGCCAGAUGGGGAUAUACAAAACUACGAAAAAAUAAGAGAUUUUGUUAGCUCGGUACGCUGUAACUCCUGAAUCCCAUAGAAGGAAAUUUCGGGCCCUCAGGAGGCAAGGCAAGGAUUCGUAUACUGAGUGGGCAUUUUGUAUGCAACGCGAUGCCAGUAAUUGGAUGCAGGGGAAUCAUGGCAACUACCUUAGAGGAUACUGUACAAUUGAUAUUACUGGAGCAAUUUUUUUAUUAUACACCAGCGGAGGUGAGAGACUGGGUCAGAGACAGAAAGCCAAAAACAGUGGAGGAGGCAGACGAAUUUCAUGAGAGCAGACGGAUGGAUGGAAAUCGAGGGUUCCAGGGCCAGCGGCCUGCAUCUGGUCCGCCAGCUAUGCCGCAGAGGGUACCACCACCGGGGAGCAAUACCACAACCCUGGGGGUGCAAGCAAGUGGGGCACAUCAAACCUAAUUGCCCACAACGCACUACAGACCGCUGGGGGCGGACACCAGUACCACCGACCAAAGCAGCCGCACACUGUGUGCAAGAGGAUUACAACUCUCUGACUCAAGAGACACCCAGUAACCACAGUGAGAAUUGGGCCACCUUACAUGAGGUGAACCCUGUGCAAGCGGCUGGGGCGCACCACCGCCAGUCGGUAAAGCUAAAUGGACAAGAGGCUUGGGGACUGAGAGACAGCGGGGCUACUAUUACCUUGGUCCAGCCACACCGGGUCACCCCGACCCAGCACAUGGGACGCACCAUUGCUGUAAGGGUGGCCGGAGGGGCAAUUCAUAAACUACCAACAGCCCGGGUACACAUUGAUUGAGGUACGGGGCCAGAUUUGCCAGCGGAAGUGUUGCUGGGGAAUGAUUUAGAAUGCCUGACGUCCCAAUUGGCAGCCUGCAGUCCAGAAGGAGCACUACCUGUUACCACCCGGCAGAAAUCCAGAGCUAUGGAGGCCUCCCCCUCAACCCAUGACCAGGUAAGCAAUAACCCUCUGACGAUUCACCCUGACCAUACUUCUUACUGGGGUACCCCUCAAGACAUUGAGCAAGCUCAGCGGGAAGAUCCCACCUUAAAGGGAUAUCGGAGGGAGGCCGAACAACCCCAGGCAGACGGAGAUCAGGCAAGGUUUAUCUGGGAAAAGGGUUUACUGUACCGAGUGACUGGGGGGACAGGGAAAGGAGCGGGUCAGGUAGAAAAAAGACAGUUAAUAGUGCCCCGUAAUUAUCGGGUAGAACUGUUACGGAUUAGCCACGAUAUCCCCCUAGCAGGUCACUUAGGCAUUAAAAAGACUAGAGACCGACUCACCCAAUCAUUUUUCUGGACGGGGGUCACUAGAGAUUUGCAGGAUUAUUGUAGGACCUGCGAGGUAUGCCAAAAGGUAGGGAAGAGAGGGGAUCACUCCAGGGCAAAACUACGUCCCCUACCCAUCAUUGAGGAACCAUUUUUGCGAGUGGCCGUUGAUUUAGUCGGGCCACUCAGCAAACCCAGUCCAUCCGGUAAGAAAUACAUUCUUACUGUGGUGGACUACGCUACCCGCUACCCCAAAGCUAUAGCGCUGUCAAAUAUACAUGCAGAGAUGGUGGCGGAAGCACUGGUUCAGGUGUUUACUAGGGUGGGAUUCCCUAGGGAGAUAGUGUCGGAUCAGGGAACCCAAUUCACAGCGGUGGUUACCCAACAGCUCUGGCAGAGCUCUGGGGUAAAACCCAUAUUAAGUUCUCCCUAUCACCCCCAAACCAAUGGCCUCUGUGAACAUUUUAAUGGCACUCUUAAGCAAAUGCUCAUCACGUUCAGAGACCUGUCGGAAUUGGGAAAAAUUCCUUCCCCAUUUGCUCUUUGCCUAUAGGGAAGUUCCCAAGGAGUCCACCGGAUUCUCCCCGUUUGAACUAUUAUACGGGAGACGGGUCCAGAGACCCCUAGAUCUAGUACGGGAACAUUGGGAAGGUGAUAUGGAACAAGCAGGUACCCCUAUAGUCCCAUUUGUACUAGAGUUGAGGGACCAGCUGCAGGUUCUGACCGAAACAGUUCGGGAGAACCUGCGGGCAGCCCAACAACGGCAGAAGUACUAGUAGAACAAGGGAGCUAGAGACCCUAUAUUAGAAGUAGGACAAAAGGUCCUAGUGCUUAAGCCUAUCAAAACGGAUAAGUUACAAGCCUCCUGGCAGGGCCCCUAAUAGAGCAGAUCAGUGAUACCACUUACAUUGUGGCAGACUGUUCUGAUGGAAGGAUCCGGCGGUCUUUCCAUGUAAAUAUGCUCAAGCCAUAUCUCGAGAGAACAGAGGAGGUCUCCGCGGUAUGCGCUCCAGCGUAUGAGGAUAGUGAGGGUAUUCCUUUACCGGAUAUGCUUCCCCAAGAACCUACAGGGGUAGAACAGGUACAGUUGGGUCCAGAAUUAGGUCCCGAGGAGCAAGCUCAGGCUUCCCAACUGUUAAAGGAGUUUGGGGGCAUGUUUUCAGCAGCCCCAGGGUAUACGACCCUGGCAGUCCACAGAGUGGAGACCCCAGGCCAGUUACCCCUGCGGCAGCAGCCCUAGCGAAUCCCCGAGGCAGUACGGGAAAGCAUGUUAAAGGAAAUCCAGGACAUGUUAGAACUGGGAGUCAUAGAACCGUCCCAAAGCCCUUGGGCUUCCCCAGUAGUCCUGGUUUCUAAGAAAGACGGUACCACCAGGUUCUGUGUGGACUACCGUAAACUAAACGAUCGGACCGUUACCAACGCAUGCCCCAUGCCCAGAGUAGACGAGCUGCUAGACCGUAUGGCUGGGGGGAAUUAUUUGACCUCUAUUGAUUUGUGUAAGGGAUAUUGGCAAAUCCCCUUGGAGCCUGGGGCCAUUCCAAAAUCGGCAUUUGUCACACCAUUUGGCCUAUACCAGUUUAAGGUUAUGCCAUUUGGGAUGAAGAAUGCCCCAGCUACGUUCCAAAGGAUGGCGGACCGGCUCCUAGAGGGAUUUCAGGGCUUCGCUUGUGCUUACCUGGACGAUAUAGCACUUGGGAAGCCCACCUGGAACACAUCUCAGUAGUGCUCAACCGAAUUCAGAACGCAUGGCUCACCUUGAAGCCAGAGAAAUGCCACGUAGGCAUGGUUGAAGUCCAAUAUUUGGGCCACAGAGUAGGGUCAGGAAAACAGAGACCAGAGCUAGCUAAGAUUGAGGCCAUCACCCAGUGGCCCCAACCCCGGACUAAAACACAGGUCAUGGCGUUCUUGGGCACCGCAGGUUAUUAUAGGAAAUUUGUGGCAGAAUACAGUGCCCUAGCCAAACCCCUGACAGACCUCCCCAAAAAGUCCCUACCCUGACAAGUAGUCUGGUCCACUGAGUGUGAGGAGGCUUUCCAGAAACUCAAGGCUGCGUUAAGUGCAUCUCCUGUGUUGGUGGCACCUGAUCAUACUAAAAGGUUUCUCGUUCACACAGAUGCCUCAAUGUUUGGACUGGGAGCAGUAUUGAGCCAGGUGGGGGACGAUGGCAUGGAUCACCCGGUGGCGUAUCUGAGCAGAAAACUGUUACCACGCGAAGUCAGCUAUGCCACCGUGGAAAAAGAGUGUCUGGCAUUAGUCUGGGCACUUAAAAAACUACAACUCUACCUGUAUGGACGCUCUUUCACAGUGCUGACUGACCACAACCCUUUGAUUUGGCUUAACAGAGUAGCUGGCGAUAACCCCGGACUACUCAGAUGGAGCUUGGCACUGCAACCCUAUAAUUUUACAAUGCAGUAUCGCCCCGGGAAGCAGAAUGCCAAUGCAGAUGGCCUGUCGCGGCAAACUGAAUUAGAGAAGUAAUUAUUUUGGUUGUUUUUCUUGUUUUGCAGGACAUCCCUUAGCCGACCCGUUAGGGCCUAAGCAGGUAUGCCAUUCCAUGGGACUAAGGGGGAGCUGUGUAACGAAAUCCCUUAUUAAACAGACCAUGCGAACCAGCCUGAUCGGUUAUUUGGAUGGUUACAGAGUGAUUUCAUGCAAACAGCGAGAAAAAAACAAAUUAACUACCGAACCACCCAACCUCCCACUGAGGUCGUGUGGCGCCUAUUAACCACAGAGACUGUUGUGGUUAACCACAGACUAAUUGGGGAAUAGCUGGUGGCCCACGUUCGUUUACCAAACACGUGGCAAUCGCCAUUUUGGAUUGUCGAACGCUCAGCGGUUAAUGGCGAGGAUUCCCUGGAACUAAUGUCGGCUAUUUAUUUUGUCGAACACCGCUGCUACCUCUUCAAAUCCUCGUUCGUACGGGGAAAAAAUACACGAAUGAAGGAGAUACUGCUUCAUUCGUGCGCUGUAAGUAUGCGAAAGUGACCGACCCCAGAUAGCUACAGUAUGGAACUUGUAGUAGGCUACAAAUACACGAAUGGCUGGCGAAAGCCAAACUUCAGUUGACGUUUCUGAGAACUGUGUUCGUGGGAUCUGAGCGCUAUUCACCUAGAAUAUGCACUCAGAUCCAAGCUAUCUGAGGAUAUGUGGAACUUAAAGUUUAUGUUAUGUAAAAUGAAAGUUAUAGAUUUUUAUGCUGUUUUACUUGAGAUAAGUAAGGCUCUCUUUGCUGCCUUAAGUUAAUUAUCUCCAGGAUGGAAAAGAGGGAGUGAUUUAUGUAAAAGGGGAGUGCGUAUGCUAUAGCCACUGUGAUUGGCUACUGUGUUACUUUUGUCCCAGUCUUCCAUCUGGUCCCCUAGGGGAGUGUCCACCAGGUGGGAGACCUGCAUAAAUACCGGGCGGGUAGCCCACAGUAAAUCAGAUCGUUUUACCCCUUCAUGAAGUCUCGACUCAUGUUUGGGGGAUUGGGAGUUAUAAUCACUUUGAAGAUGAUUUUAUUACGGAAAGCAUAGUUCUUCCUUCUGUACCAGGGAAGAAAGUGGUCAGUCAGAAACUCCACAUACUUUGCAGAGGUCAUCUCUAUACCUUUGGGGACCCUAAAGUGGCCGACCAGCUCUCUUCCCAUGAUUACGGCCCAAAACAUGAUUCCACCACCGACGUCGCAGCCUUGUUGGAACAGGGUGGCCGUUCACCAACCAUCCACUACUCCAUCCAUCUGGACCAUUCAGGGUUGCACGGCACUCAUCAGUGAACAGGACUGUUUAAAAUUAGCCGUUUCUGCUUGUGAGCAUUGGUUAGUGGUGGAUGAAUAGAAUGUUUAUGCACAGUUGCAAGACUCUGGAGGACUCUACACCUUGAUGUCCGUGGGACUCCAGAAGCACCAGCAGCUUUAAAUAUCUGUUUGCUGCUAUGUAAUAGUAUUUUAGCAGCUGCUCUCUUGAUCCAAUGCAUGGAUCUGGCAGAAAUCUUCCUCAAUGUGCCUUUAUCUGCAAAAACCAGUCUGUGCUCUGAAUCAGCCACAAAUCUCUUAAUAGUGCAAUGAUCACGCUUAAGUUUUUGUGAAAUAUCUAAUGUUUUCAUACCUCGUCCAAAGCAUUGAACUAUUUCACUCUUUUCGGCAGCAGAGAGAUCCUUUUUCUUCCCUAUAUUGCAUAAAAAUGGUGCUCUGCUUAAUAACUCCUUUAGUAGUUUUUCCAUAAAUUGGGCUCACCUGGCAAUUUAAAUUUAAAUUAAUAUGUACUUAAACAGGAACUUUUACUUCCCAGUUGUUUUAAUACUAUAUUUACAUAUUCUUUUAAUCCCUUUCCAAUCCCUUCCGACAAAAAUCAUACGUUAACGACCUCGGACAUACCUGGUACGUUGGAUAGUAAAUCUCCACUUAUCUGUUCGCUGGCGAUCCCCCGCCGGCGAUCGUGAUCCUGGGGUCUGCCUGGGAGCUCAGGCAGACGCCCUCUGCCCGAUCAGGCCCUCCUGUACCAUGUGAUCGCGGGGUCAUCGCGAUCACAUGGCCGAAAUAGCUGGCUUGUGCAGUGCCUGCAUAAAAGUUUAAAAAGUAAAUAAAAGUUAUUAAAAAGUUUAAUACAUUUAAUAGAAGUACUUAGAUUUUAUAUGUAUAUAUAUAUAUAUAUAUAUAUAUAUAUAUAUAUAUAUGAUCUAAAUACUUUUAUAUACACAUACAUAAAUCAUUAUAAAAAG